CUACGUGCCAGCAGCCGCGGUAAUACGGAAGGUCCUGGUGUUAUCCGGAUUUAUUGGGUUUAAAGGGAGCGUAGGCCGUAGAUUAAGUGUGUUGUGAAAUGUAGGCGCCCAACGUCUGCCUUGCAGCGCAAACUGGUUUACUUGAGUACGCGCAACGCAGGCGGAAUUCGUCGUGUAGCGGUGAAAUGCUUAGAUAUGACGAAGAACUCCGAUUGCGAAGGCAGCUGACGGGAGCGCAACUGACGCUUAAGCUCGAAGGUGCGGGUAUCAAACAGGAUUAGAUACCCUGGUAGUCCGCACAGUAAACGAUGGAUGCCCGCUGUUGGUACCUGGUAUCAGCGGCUAAGCGAAAGCWUUAAGCAUCCCACCUGGGGAGUACGCCGGCAACGGUGAAACUCAAAGGAAUCGACGGGGGCCCGCACAAGCGGAGGAACAUGUGGUUUAAUUCGAUGAUACGCGAGGAACCUUACCCGGGCUUGAA
rnacentral:rRNA from 1 species